rnacentral:snRNA from 1 species
GGAUGUGAGGGCAGUCUGACUGUGACAUCUGUCACUCCAUUGACCACCAGGGUUGGUUUGACUGGCAGUGUCCCUUUAUCCCUCAUCGCUCCAUGCAUAUCCCUCCUGAAGCCAUACACCUGUCAAAGAGGAUGACCACUCUAAUAGAAGAGGACCGCCUGCUAGAACUUCCAGACAGGCUCUUCAUCUGAGAAUCUAGAGACAGACUUGCAUUCUCUCAGCCAUCCCUCUGCGGACACAGGAAGUGCCUGACCCUGUCAGCAG